GACGAACCGUCCUAACGUUGUUCGGAAUCACUGGGCUUAAAGGGCGCGUAGGCGGGCAUGCAAGUCCGGGGUGAAAGCUUUCGGCUUAACCGGAAAAGGGCCUUGGAUACUGCAUGUCUAGAGGGAGGUAGGGGUCUGUGGAACUUCGGGUGGAGCGGUGAAAUGCGUUGAUAUCCGAAGGAACGCCGGUGGCGAAAGCGCUCUACUGGACCGCAACUGACACUCAGGGACGAAAGCUAGGGGAGCGAAUGGG
rnacentral:rRNA from 1 species